rnacentral:rRNA from 1 species
UUGGUUAAGUUAGAAAGGGCGCACGGUGGAUGCCUUGGCACUAGGAGCCGAAGAAGGACGGGACUAACACCGAUAUGCUUUGGGGAGCUGUACGUAAGCGUUGAUCCAGAGAUUUCCGAAUGGGGGAACCCACUAUCUUUAGUCGGAUAGUAUCCUUACGUGAAUACAUAGCGUGAGGAAGGCAGACCCAGGGAACUGAAACAUCUAAGUACCUGGAGGAAGAGAAAGAAAAAUCGAUUUCCUGAGUAGCGGCGAGCGAAACGGAAAGAGCCCAAACCAAGAAGCUUGCUUCUUGGGGUUGUAGGACACUCUAUACGGAGUUACAAAAGAAAGUUAUAAAUGAAGCGGUCUGGAAAGGCCCGCCAAAGACGGUAACAGCCCGGUAGUUGAAAUGGCUUUCCCUCCAGAGUGGAUCCUGAGUACGGCGGAACACGUGAAAUUCCGUCGGAAUCCGGGAGGACCAUCUCCCAAGGCUAAAUACUCCCUAGUGACCGAUAGUGAACCAGUACCGUGAGGGAAAGGUGAAAAGCACCCCGGAAGGGGAGUGAAACAGUUCCUGAAACCGUGUGCCUACAAGUAGUUAGAGCCCGUUAAUGGGUGAUAGCGUGCCUUUUGUAGAAUGAACCGGCGAGUUACGAUUUGUUGCAAGGUUAAGCGGAAAAAGCGGAGCCGUAGCGAAAGCGAGUCUGAAUAGGGCGCAUAAGUAACAGGUCGUAGACCCGAAACCAGGUGAUCUACCCAUGUCCAGGAUGAAGGUAAGGUAAUACUUACUGGAGGUCCGAACCCACGCACGUUGAAAAGUGCGGGGAUGAGGUGUGGGUAGCGGAGAAAUUCCAAUCGAACUUGGAGAUAGCUGGUUCUCUCCGAAAUAGCUUUAGGGCUAGCCUCGAGGUAAAGAGUCAUGGAGGUAGAGCACUGUUUGGACUAGGGGCCCUUCUCGGGUUACCGAAUUCAGAUAAACUCCGAAUGCCAUGUACUUAUACUCGGGAGUCAGACUGCGAGUGAUAAGAUCCGUAGUCGAAAGGGAAACAGCCCAGACCACCAGUUAAGGUCCCCAAAUAUAUGUUAAGUGGAAAAGGAUGUGGGGUUGCUUAGACAACCAGGAUGUUGGCUUAGAAGCAGCCACCAUUGAAAGAGUGCGUAAUAGCUCACUGGUCGAGUGACCCCGCGCCGAAAAUGUACCGGGGCUAAACAUAUUACCGAAACUGUGGAUGAACCUCUUUAGAGGUUCGUGGUAGGAGAGCGUUCUAAGGGCGGUGAAGUCAGACCGGAAGGACUGGUGGAGCGCUUAGAAGUGAGAAUGCCGGUAUGAGUAGCGAAAGAAGGGUGAGAAUCCCUUCCACCGAAUAUCUAAGGUUUCCUGAGGAAGGCUCGUCCGCUCAGGGUUAGUCGGGACCUAAGCCGAGGCCGAUAGGCGUAGGCGAUGGACAACAGGUAGAGAUUCCUGUACCAGUGCUAAUUGUUUAACCGAUGGGGUGACACAGAAGGAUAGGGAAUCGCACGAAUGGAAAUGUGCGUCCAAGCAGUGAGUGUGAGAAGUAGGCAAAUCCGCUUCUCGCGAAGCAUGAGCUGUGAUGGGGAAGGAAAUUAAGUACGGAAGUUCCUGAUUUCACGCUGUCAAGAAAAGCCUCUAGGAAGAGUAGUACUGCCCGUACCGCAAACCGACACAGGUAGAUGAGGAGAGAAUCCUAAGGUGAGCGAGAGAACUCUCGUUAAGGAACUCGGCAAAAUGACCCCGUAACUUCGGGAGAAGGGGUGCUCUAUUAGGGUGCAAGCCCGAGAGAGCCGCAGUGAAUAGGCCCAGGCGACUGUUUAGCAAAAACACAGGUCUCUGCAAAACCGUAAGGUGACGUAUAGGGGCUGACGCCUGCCCGGUGCUGGAAGGUUAAGAGGAGUGCUUAGCUUCGGCGAAGGUACGAAUUGAAGCCCCAGUAAACGGCGGCCGUAACUAUAACGGUCCUAAGGUAGCGAAAUUCCUUGUCGGGUAAGUUCCGACCCGCACGAAAGGCGCAACGAUCUGGGCACUGUCUCAACGAGAGACUCGGUGAAAUUAUAGUACCUGUGAAGAUGCAGGUUACCCGCGACAGGACGGAAAGACCCCGUGGAGCUUUACUGCAACCUGAUAUGGAAUGUUUGUACCGCUUGUACAGGAUAGGUAGGAGCCGAAGAGACGUGUGCGCUAGCAUACGAGGAGGCAAUGGUGGGAUACUACCCUGGCUGUAUGACCAUUCUAACCCGCCACGCUUAGCGCGUGGGGAGACAGUGUCAGGUGGGCAGUUUGACUGGGGCGGUCGCCUCCUAAAGAGUAACGGAGGCGCCCAAAGGUUCCCUCAGAAUGGAUGGAAAUCAUUCGCAGAGUGUAAAGGCACAAGGGAGCUUGACUGCGAGACUGACAAGUCGAGCAGGGACGAAAGUCGGGCUUAGUGAUCCGGUGGUUCCGCAUGGAAGGGCCAUCGCUCAACGGAUAAAAGCUACCCCGGGGAUAACAGGCUUA